rnacentral:rRNA from 1 species
UACGUAGGGUGCGAGCGUUAAUCGGAAUUACUGGGCGUAAAGCGUGCGCAGGCGGCGCGUUAAGACAGGUGUGAAAGCCCCGAGCUUAACUUGGGAAUUGCGCUUGUGACUGGCGUGCUGGAGUGUGGCAGAGGGAGGUGGAAUUCCACGUGUAGCAGUGAAAUGCGUGGAGAUGUGGAGGAACACCGAUGGCGAAGGCAGCCUCCUGGGCCAGCACUGACGCUCAUGCACGAAAGCGUGGGGAGCAAACAGG